GCUCCAUCAUGAAUGCCCUGGGCCUAGGGUUUCUCCUCCUUCUGGCACUGACAGGAACCAUCGGUGCCCAGGAGGUCGCUCCCAUGACCACCUUGACCUGUGCCAACCGGAGAGGGUACUGCCGCCGCUUCUGCCUUGCCCACGAGGUACACGUAGGCCACUAUGGCUGCCCGCGGCGAUACAGGUGCUGCAUGCCGAAGAUCUACCUUGUGGAAUGGACCAAGCCCCGAGGUGCCAGAUCCAUAUCAACUCCCCCCUAG